rnacentral:rRNA from 1 species
GUGGGGAAUAUUGGACAAUGGGCGAAAGCCUGAUCCAGCCAUGCCGCGUGUGUGAAGAAGGUCUUCGGAUUGUAAAGCACUUUAAGUUGGGAGGAAGGGUAGUAACCUAAUACGUUGCUACUUUGACGUUACCGACAGAAUAAGCACCGGCUAACUUCGUGCCAGCAGCCGCGGUAAUACGAAGGGUGCAAGCGUUAAUCGGAAUUACUGGGCGUAAAGCGCGCGUAGGUGGUUCAUUAAGUUGGAAGUGAAAUCCCCGGGCUCAACCUGGGAACUGCUUUCAAAACUGGUGAGCUAGAGUACGGUAGAGGGUGGUGGAAUUUCCUGUGUAGCGGUGAAAUGCGUAGAUAUAGGAAGGAACAUCAGUGGCGAAGGCGACCACCUGGACUGAUACUGACACUGAGGUGCGAAAGCGUGGGGAGCAAACAGGAUUAGAAACCCGGGUAGUCC